AAGACUAUGCGUUCAGUAGUUUGGUACUAGAGAAGUUUCCUUGAAUGUGGAGAGUACCGAAACCACGAGGGUUGGGUGCAGUGCCCUCUCCUGAGUGAGCAGCCGGCUCUGCAUGUUGCUUCUGAAGCUGUUGGCCAUUGAUGAUCCUUUUUCUCUUCCUGAUGAUCGUUUUUCUCUUCCUUUUGAAGAGUGAGGGGAAAAGUUGCCAUCUGAGUGGG